rnacentral:lncRNA from 1 species
UGUGGUGCAGUCUGCACGUAAUCUGGUCCAUAGUUGUAGUUUACUUGAGAAGAAGGAGGUGGGCCCAUUCCCAUUGGGUUAGGGUGAGACUGCAUGGGAUUGGGAGGUGGUGCACCACCAUAGUAGUCGUAACCAUAACCAGUCUGUUCAGGCAUAUUUGUUGGAGGUGGUCUUUGGUCCCAACCAUAAUUGUUUUUUGGUGGCAGAGAUUGUUGUGGUGGGUAAUUUCCAUAGCCUGAGGAGGAAUAUGGUGGGUUUUGAGAUGGAUAGGAUCCACCUCCACCUCUUGAUGGUGGUGCUGAAUAGUUGUUACU